rnacentral:lncRNA from 1 species
AUCAUUUCACCAGUUUCUCUGCACGAAUACCGAGAGAAACCGAGCGGUGUUCUUCGUGUUCUUCAUAAUCAAACGAAGAUUUGAAGGUGUUAUUGGAAUCCGAUGGAGGCGUAUGAAUAGUCAAAACGAAGCUAUCGACGCGUAGAAUCUAGUUUAAUCAUCCGUUUGUGUGCAGAUUCAACAGGAUUUGGACGAGAAGUGUAUGCCCGAAGACGUUCAGAAAGUCACGUGGUGUUACAAAGCGAAUAAGGGAUGAAUCGAGUAAGCGAAGCGAAGAUGUACGGUAGAUAGAGUAUAGCCAGAGAUGGUCUAGAGACUAUGAGAGGCAUAGAUUGUGAAAGUGGAAAGAUGAGAUUGAGAUGUGAGACUGGAGUCAGAUUUAAGGCAAGUAUCCUAAACCUUUCUCUUGGAUAUAUUGCAAAUAUUCUGAUCCAUUCCUUUGGUAUAUGUUUCAAGUAUUCAUACCUUUCUUUUCAAUGUUCGAAAGUGCGAGUAUUCUGACCCAUUCUUUCUAAUCUUCAAGUUUCUAAAGAAUUUCCGUUUUACAAAUUAAUUCGAAGUUCAGAUUGUCAUUGAAGCAUGUGUUGCUCAGUGAUAGUUAGAGCUUUGAAUGAAUUGGGAUCUUCUUGAUUAUUCAACCCACCAUUGUCAUGCUGGUUUAGCAGGCUAAAUUCAGUUGCUUAGCCGAUAAUGGAGGAUACUGAAUAGUUGAGGAUUUCCUGAACUGUGAUUUAUGAAAUGAUGGAUCAUGAUUUAUGAAUAGAUUAUUAUCAAAGUUUGAUUUGGAAUUAUUCUGUUGUUGAUGAUAUUUAUGAUGAUGUUCUGUUAAUUUACAUUGGCUUCUUGAAUUGAAUUAGAGAAUUGGAUUAUUGUUUUUAUAUAAACCUGUGGACCAGAUUCGUGGUCAUGUUAGGCCAAUGAGUGCCUUGGAUCCAGUGAUAGAGCAUGGCGGGGCCUGCUCGGGGUUAGUGCGGAACUGAUCAGCUGCCUAACCUUGGUUUUAAUUAAAAUGUGAUAGUCCAAUUCAAUAAUUCUUUGGAAAGAUUGAAUUUCUCAGUUUAAAUGCUGCAAGGUAUUGUAAAUCAUUCUAUACAAUACCAUGAACUCAUGAACUCAGGUUGAAUCCUCUUAUAUCUUGAACUCGUGAACUUCUGUUAUAUCAUUUCAGAACUAUCAUUGUUUAUUAUUACUUGCUGAGCAUUGUUGCUCACCCUUGCUAUUCCUUUUUGACCAUUUCAGAAAGGCUUAAAGAUGAGAUGAUUGAUUGAGAUUGUGAGUAAGGCUAAUGCUAGGCGAGGAGACAGAGUUGAGGAUCCAGUGGUCGAGGAGUGUUCAGGAAAGUUGAUGAGGUUGGUGCAAGCUGGAAUAGUUGACAGUGAUUCUUCUUAUCGAAGAUGAUCUGAUUUGGUAAGAGAUGUUGUGUAAUAAUAGUGGUAGAUUCUAAUUUCAAUACUGUAACCUGGAUGCGAUCCUGUUGCUUUUAGGGGGUUUAAAUGUUCUCUUUCAAAUCAUUUAUUAAAGUUUAAAUGUUCUCUUGAAAUUCUCUUAUUAUAACUUUCAAGUUACAAAUUCAGGUUUUGAAAUCAUUUGAUUUAUGUUCUUUUUCAAAUAUUUUCCCGGUUUUAAAUUCUUUUGAUUUUCAUUACCUUUUAAAAGAAAAAGAAAAUACGGGUUUUCAAAAGUGUUUGAAAAUGGGUUUUAUGUGGUGACGUCAGAAUCCAGACCCCCGGAUUCUUGGGCUGUCACAGUUGGUAUCAGAGCCACAGGUUACAAGUUAUUGGAAUUAGAAUAUAGAUCCUAGUUAUAGGUUUUCUAGAGAAGAAUGUGGUGUAACCUCACAUAGAGGUAUGGUCGGACUAUUUAGGAAUAGUCUAGAAAUGUGAGUGAAGCAUAGAGUUUAGUUAGAUGAUCAAAUUAAGUGUGGAUAUUUAAAGAGAUUAGGAUUCUUAAGUUUAGACAUAUGAUUUCUAGUAUGUUGAUUAAUUGAGAUGGUGAAUUGUGGAAAAGGUCAGUAUUAGACCUAUAUAGAAGAGUUUGAUAGUGAAUGAUUGAGUUGAGAAUGGUGAAAAUGCAGAGUUCAGAGUAUUCUGACUAUACUGCAUAGUUGAAAAUGGUCUAUUGUAUUGAUUUGAGAAUGAUAAAGAUGCAUGGUUCAUAGUAUGUUGACCAUGUUAGGUAUUUGGAAAAAGGUAUAUUGUNNNNNNNNNNNNNNNNNNNNNNNNNNNNNNNNNNNNNNNNUUGAUUUGGAAUUAUUCUAUCAUCGAUAUUGAUUAUGUUUAUGUUCUGUUGUUAUACGUUGACCUGUUAUUGAAUUAUAGAAUUGGAUUAUUGUUUUUAUAUAAACCUGUGGACCAGAUUCGUGGUACGCUUCAAGCUAAUUGGGACUUCAAACGAUAUCAAGGUGGGCCCAUAACCCACAGGUUGACGAUCCAAACGAUCGAAGAGAUGUUACAUGUCAUGCUAUGGACUUCAAAGGCAAUUGGGAUGAAAUAAUGUAAACUACUUGGGGCCAGACUUAUUACGAACCAUGAUAUCUUACAACGCUAUUACGAUUGAACGUCGAUCAAUUAUCGAGAAGGUUGAAAAGGAGAUAUACAACGAACGACGAUUUUUGAAGUAGAGCAGUAAUUUGAGAAGACCUUGGCAAUACCUCUCUUCAACUAAAGAUUCUUUUGAUUGUUUUCUCAUCAGUGAGAUAUUAUCAUGAUAUCUUUUCUAUAAAAGUUUUGAUAAAUGAGAUCUUCAAUUUCUCAAAUUCUAAGAUGACAUUGAUAUUGAUUAUUGGUAUGAGUUGGAAAGCAAAGAUGUGUGAUAAAGGUUUGUUGUGAAGAGAUAGUGAUGUUCCUUGAUAUUGUUUGACAUUUCUUGACAUUCCUUGAUACCCUUUCAUCUUCCUUGAUAUCCCUUGAUGUUCUUUGAUAUCUUUGAUAUUCCUUGACAUUCUUUGAUAUUCUUUGACAUUUAUUCAAAUUGAUUGGGAUGAACAACCCUAUUUAUAGGGGACACAAGGUAUACCUGUCUGUGUGAUAGGAGUUGGAUGGGACGCCAUCACUUGUGUGUGUUGUGAUUACAAGAAGGUUAACAACCUUUAGUAGUGUCUAAUAUGGACACGCAACACCAAGUUCGUUGAUCAUAUAGAUCUCUCAGUCACUCCUUUAUUCAAAUGUGAUCUACCUUGAAAACAUUUUGUUCUAUUCAAAAUUCCCAAAGAUUGAUUCUUGGGAAAUGAAUUCUGCAAUUGUGAAAGCUGAUUCUCCAAUUUCUUUAAAGCUAAAGGUAUGCCAAGGCCGAUCAAAGGUGAAUGAUGAUACGUUAUUACGAAGCGUAUAGUGGAAUCUUAUAAGUGAUACGUUUGAGUUCUUUUUGCGGAUUCCGAGGGCGGAAUCCUUAUAAGGGGGGUAGAAUGUAAUAUCUCAUAUUAUUAAAUUUAGAUUUGAUUAUUAUAAAUCUAUUUGUCUAGAUAUUGUUGUUGGCUUUAGUUGAAAAGUGAAUUGAUUAUGGGAAUAGUUCUAUAUGAUUAUACUUGUUCUGUGGAUUAAUAUGGAUUAUACUAUUUAUGCGUUCUCCUUCUUUCUCUGAUUCCGAGGACGGAAUCCCUAUAAGGAGGGUAGAUUGUAAUAACCCGGAUUUUUAAAAAUAUUUUUGUUAAUAUUAUAAAUGAUUUUCUUAAAAAGAAAGGAAUAAGAUUUAAUAUUUUAUUCCAGUUUAAUGAGUUUUCAAAGUUUUAUAUUUAAACCCCGGGUUAUUGUGUUAUUGAUAAAUAAUUGUAUUUUCAAAACUGAUUUUCAUAUAUUGUUUUGAAAAUUCUGUAUGAAUAUUAUGUGAAUAUAUGUGUGAUGUGAGUAAGUGGUAUUGGUGGAUUUGUUGGUUAAUUAAUUAUGGUUAAUUAUGAGUAUUAUAUGAUUAAUAUAUGAAUUUUUGUGAAUUUUAUAUUAUCUGGUUUAUUGCGUUAACUGCUCAUAUGUGUUCGUAUUUGAGAGAUUUCAAUUUCUAUAUGCUCAGGAGAAAAUAUAGUUUAUUUGGAUAUUUUCAUAUCGAUUUAUGGAAUGUUAGAUGAUUUUAUAAUCGAUUUACGGAUUUAAUUGUGUAUAUUUAUAUUUAUUUAUUGAUUAUUUGACUUCCGUAAAACCGUUCACUCGUAACGAGGUAGCAAAUUUUCUUCCCGGAAGUUUCGAGAAAACUCACCUUUAGCCUAAUUUGAAUAUUCCGGACAUUUUUCGUGUUUUGACUUUUUCGAUCCGGAGUACGGUUUUCCCCGUAGUCGGUCCGGCGGAGUUUUUCGGGUAUUUUAAUUGUUGAUAAUUAUCUGGUUGUCUCGAUAAACGUGAAACUAGAUAUUUUGAUUCAUCCUUAUCUUGUAAUAAUUGCAGUAGGGCCCGCAUACUAAUGACUGAUUAAAAAGCCCCGUUUUGAUGAUUAUCUUGAAAACCAGUACCGAUUGGACCCCGCUUUAUUACUAUAAAGCUAUUAAAUACGUAUGAUGACUGGAGUUGAUUGAUUGGUUGUUGAUUGAAAUAGGUUGACCGGAGGAUAGUCUAAUAAAUAGACGAGACGCUGUCAAGUUAUCGAUUGGAUUUAUAUGAUAAUUGAUUUGUGAUAUGUUAUGUGAAAGAUGACUUGACUAUAUGAUAGAGUCAAAGCAUGAUUAUGUGUUAAGUGAUAUCUGAUAGGUUUAAAGGGUUAUAUAAGUGGGUAUCGAUGUACGUGAGAUGUAUACGCGAUCGAUUGUUUAGUGAUUAUAGUGUUAUCUUAUUCUCGUAAAGGAUUUGGACGAGACGUGUAUGCCCGAAGACGUUCAGAAAGUCACGUGGUGUUACAAAGCGAAUAAGGGAUGAAUCGAGUAAGCGAAGCGAAGAUGUACGGUAGAUAGAGUAUAGCCAGAGAUGGUCUAGAGACUACGAGAGGCAUAGAUUGUGAAAGUGGAAAGAUGAGAUUGAGAUGUGAGACUGGAGUCAGAUUUAAGGCAAGUAUCCCAAACCUUUCUCUUGGAUAUAUUGCAAAUAUUCUGAUCCAUUCCUUUGAUAUAUGUUUCAAGUAUUCAUACCUUUCUUUUCAAUGUUCGAAAGUGCGAGUAUUCUGACCCAUUCUUUCUAAUCUUCAAGUUUCUAAAGAAUUUCCGUUUUACAAAUUAAUUCGAAGUUCAGAUUGUCAUUGAAGCAUGUGUUGCUCAGUGAUAGUUAGAGCUUUGAAUGAAUUGGGAUCUUCUUGAUUAUUCAACCCGCCAUUGUCAUGCUGGUUUAGCAGGCUAAAUUCAGUUGCUUAGCCGAUAAUGGAGGAUACUGAAUAGUUGAGGAUUUCCUGAACUGUGAUUUAUGAAAUGAUGAAUCAUGAUUUAUGAAUAGAUUAUUAUCAAAGUUUGAAUUGGAAUUAUUCUGUUGUUGAUGAUAUUUAUGAGGAUGUUCUGUUGAUUUACAUUGGCUUCUUGAAUUGAAUUAGAGAAUUGGAUUAUUGUUUUUAUAUAAACCUGUGGACCAGAUUCGUGGUCAUGUUAGGCCAAUGAGUGCCUUGGAUCCAGUAAUAGAGCAUGGCGGGGCCUGCUCGGGGUUAGUGCGGAACUGAUCAGCUGCCUAACCUUGGUUUUAAUUAAAAUGUGAUAGUCCAAUUCAAUAAUUCUU